rnacentral:lncRNA from 1 species
ACGGUGCAGCCAUUUGUGGGCCCUAUAACGAAAAACGGUUGAAUGAAGGAAAACGACAAAGAUUGAGUUUUAUAAAUAACGGCGUAAAUUGUUACCGUUAACACUGUUGGGUUACCUGGUGGUUAAAAUACAGUAAUACGCGUAGUUGCACAGUAGCACACGGUAUUGCACAGUAUUGUUGAAUUAUUGAUUCGUACGUAAG